rnacentral:rRNA from 1 species
UACGGAGGGAGCUAGCGUUGUUCGGAAUUACUGGGCGUAAAGCGCGCGUAGGCGGCUUUGUAAGUUAGAGGCGAAAGCCUGGAGCUCAACUUCAGAAUUGCCUUUAAGACUGCAUCGCUUGAAUCCGGGAGAGGUGAGUGGAAUUCCGAGUGUAGAGGUGAAAUUCGUAGAUAUUCGGAAGAACACCAGUGGCGAAGGCGGCUCACUGGACCGGCAUUGACGCUGAGGUGCGAAAGCUAGGGGAGCAAACGGG